CUACACUCAAGAACAUGAGUAUCCAGCACAGCCUACUUCUCUUCCUCGCUUUGGUAGCAAAUGCACAUGCAGCCUUGUCAGGAGAUGAAAUCAUCAAUGGGAAGAAAGCCAAAGAUGGUUCCUUGGAAUACAUGGCAUCGGUGCAGAUCCUUGACUGGAAACGACAUAAUGCUAUUAAAGUUAGUCAAACAGGUGAAAUUAGGCAAAGGGGUGAAAGUAGUUAAUAUCCCAAGAAACGACAAACCAGUUCAGCAACCCACA